rnacentral:rRNA from 1 species
UACAGAGGUCUCAAGCGUUGUUCGGAUUCAUUGGGCGUAAAGGGUGUGUAGGUGGCGCCGUAAGUCGGGUGUGAAAUUUCGGAGCUUAACUCCGAAACUGCAUUCGAUACUGCGGUGCUUGAGGACUGGAGAGGAGACUGGAAUUCAUGGUGUAGCAGUGAAAUGCGUAGAGAUCAUGAGGAAGACCAGUGGCGAAGGCGGGUCUCUGGACAGUUCCUGACGCUGAGGCACGAAGGCUAGGGGAGCAAACGGG